CUGAAGGCUAGAAUAUUUGACUGCAGACCAGGAGGUCUCUGGUGCAAAACUUUGUGCCCCAGUUAGCACUUUCUUUUAUUGCCAAGCCGAAAGAGUCCUUUCUUGAUGCAUUCUCCAGCUUUCUAGUCACUGUUAUCAGUAAUCUUCCUAGCCCCUGUGUCAGUUUUCUUUUAUGACAUCAAUUAUCUGGUACAAGUCAGGGUUCUCUUCUUAAUCAUCUAAGCACAAUUCAGAUGUUUUCAAUUAGUCUUUUCAGUUUACAUCAUGGAGGGAGAUGCUGAAUCAGAGUUUACCCAGCCUGCUCUUGCAUCAGGAUUACUGGCUGAGCUUGGUAAAAUUACAGAUCACUCCUAGUAGUUCUGAUCUAGGACCAUUUUGGAGGAAUCUAGAAGCUUUUCGGUUUUGGUGACAACACUGGUAACAUCCAACCUAGUAUCCAAUGACAUCAUAAAGGAAACUUGGAACUGAAUGAUAAUGAAAAUAUAGAGUCAAAAUCUGUAAUGUAAAAUUCAAGCAACAGGGCUACCAGCAUCUGUAGCAUCAGUGACAGCUGUAGUCACCUAUCUUUCCGCCCUUCGGGAGGCACCCUGACCGCCCUCGCCCCAGCACAGCUCUCUCCCUCCCUUAGGGAAGAGGCUCCUCACCUUCAUCGCCACAGUCUCAUCGCAGCAUCCUUCCACGGUCAUGCCCUGGACCAUCUUAUUCCUGACUGUCGCCUCACAUUCCAGCAGUGAAGGUGCUAUGAGGUUUCAAGCAAAUUUCCUUCAUGAAUACUUCAAUGGCUUCCAGUUUUGCACUAAUUCAGAAAAGGAUACAAUGAAUCUCCAAAUAUACAGUCUUCAUGCAUUGAUUUGAAUUAAUCAAUGAAGAAUAAACCUCUAGA